CAAAGCCCGUAAUCCUCCUAGGCC
rnacentral:siRNA from 1 species